rnacentral:rRNA from 1 species
UACGUAGGGAGCGAGCGUUGUCCGAAGUUACUGGGCGUAAAGGGCUCGUAGGCGGUUUGUCGCGUCGGGAGUGAAAUCCACUGGCUUAACUGGUGGCUUGCUUUCGAUACGGGCAGACUGGAGGUAUGCAGGGGAGAACGGAAUUCCUGGUGUAGCGGUGAAAUGCGCAGAUAUCAGGAGGAACACCGGUGGCGAAGGCGGUUCUCUGGGCAUGUCCUGACGCUGAGGAGCGAAAGUGUGGGGAGCGAACAGG